rnacentral:lncRNA from 1 species
CGCCUCCCAGCCCCCCGUUUUGUUCCACGCACCUUAGUCACCCUGGAUGUCUGCGUGUGGAGGUGGGGACAGGGGACGGGGCACAGACAUGAAGGCGUGGGCUACAUCCUCCUUUGAAAAUUGGAAUAACCUUGAACUUCAUCGAACCUGUUCUCUCAUUUGCACUUGGAGUCUUGAGGAAGGGAUUUGCCCAAAGCUGCACAGUGAGUUGGUGGCAGAGCCAGUGAUUUAGCCUCUCUUGCCCGAGUUCCUAUCUCAAAGGUAGCUGUCAGCUGUCAGAGACACUAAGGAGGCUGCCACACAAAGAAGUUACUUGGGAGACAAAGCAGGCCGGACCUUUCUGACAAUCUCUGGAGCCCCCCAGUGGAGAGGAGAAUGAAGGGAAAAGUAAACCAGAGAGGAAGAGUUGCCCUUGAAGUUGUCCACUGGGUUCCAGGCAUUUAGAAUAAAGUGAUGCUUUUUAUCUGAGCA